rnacentral:lncRNA from 1 species
ACUCCAAAUUUCAAGCUUUCCAUUACAGAGCUCCACCCACAGUGACUCACAAAUCCCCCAAUGCUUGAGUGUUGCAGUAUUUUCGCCUGUGGUGCCCAACCUUCCACCAUCAGCCCUCUCUCACCAAUCCUUUCCAGAUAUCCUUCAGGUAAUGCCUCUUCAAGUUUGGGUUUAUCUUUAUCUCCAACAGGGAAUCUGAGGACCCAAAUGAAGUUCACCUCACUAAGCUCAAGCCCCUCAGCAAUGGCUUCCCUUUCUUUAUUCGAGAGAUAAUACUCACUCCCGAAGGAAACGAGCACGGUGGAGGCUUUUCUCUUCUUGGUAAGCCAUUCAAGUAUCUCUUUCUCGUUCUCAUGGUGUUCUUCAAUGGCGUCUCGAACUAGUGGACCUGUUGGAACUACCUUUUUGUUUAAUAGGAUUGAAAGAUAGUCCAUGUAUUUCCCUUCAAGCUCACUAAAACUCUUAACCAAAAUGAUAUCCAAAGAGUGUCUAAAGGCCUGAAAAAUCUUUUCUGUAUUACUUGAAUCAGGUGGAGUACGCCCAAACUCGUUUCUGGAGCUUUUUGUUGGCAUAAAGCAAUCGUUUAUGUAAAAUUCAGGAGAGGGAAACUCCUCCCCUUUAAGUUUCUUCCAUGCAUGAAAUGCGAAAAAAGGCCCAGCUGCAGAAGCAGU